UACGUAGGGUGCAAGCGUUAAUCGGAAUUACUGGGCGUAAAGCGUGCGCAGGCGGUUUUGUAAGUCUGUCGUGAAAUCCCCGGGCUCAACCUGGGAAUUGCGAUGGAGACUGCAAGGCUAGAAUCUGGCAGAGGGGGGGUAGAAUUCCACGUGUAGCAGUGAAAUGCGUAGAGAUGUGGAGGAACACCGAUGGCGAAGGCAGCCCCCUGGGUCAAAACUGACGCUCAUGCACGAAAGCGUGGGGAGCAAACGA
rnacentral:rRNA from 1 species